rnacentral:sRNA from 12 species
GAUCUAUGCAACCACGGUUUCAUAGACAUGGUUUGGAAAAUCCAAGAGAGCCCUAUUCUUUCAGCGAAGCUGUAAACAUAUCAACAAUG